UUUUUCUCGUGGUUUAUCAGUGCUAGAUUGGAGUACCUUCCUCCUCUACACAUGGGCAGUCAGCUGUGGUAUCACAGGGAAUGGAGGAUGCUUAGUAACAUAGAGAAGAAGGAAGGACGCCGUGUUAAGAAGAACGAGCCAGAGAGACCGGCACUUCGUGUCCGCCUGAGGAAAUCCAUACCAGGGAGGAAUGGAGAAGCUCAGUCUCCUCAUGGAGUUUGCCGGAAGACUUCCUCUCUGGGUGACAGCUCACUCUGGCCAGCGUAGUCGGGGUGUGUCUAUUUCAUCUCAGACCACCCCCCUCCCCAACCUUCCGCA